GGAAAGAGCCCAGACCUGCAGCUAAGGUCCCAAAAUGUGUGUUAAGUGGAAAAGGAUGUGGGAUUUCAAAGACAACCAGGAUGUUGGCUUAGAAGCAGCCAUACAUUAAAAGAGUGCGUAAUAGCUCACUAGUCGAGAAAACCUGCGCCGAAAAUUAUCGGGGCUAAAACACGCCACCGAAGCUACGGAUUUUGUAUGAAGAAUACAAAGUGGUAGAGGAGCAAUCUGUAAGGACGAAGCCGAAGCGUAAGCGACGGUGGACGAAACAGAAGAGAGAAUGCCGGAAUGAGUAGCGAGAUAGAAGUAAGAAACUUCUAGGCCGAAUAUCUAAGGAUUCCUGAGUAAAGCUAAUCUUCUCAGGGUAAGUCGGGGCCUAAGGCGAGGGCGAAGGCCGUAGUCGAUGGAUAACUGGUAGAGAUUCCAGUACUACGAAUAAUCAGAACUGUGGGGACGCAGGAGGAUAGGAAAACCGGGGAAAGGAAAAACCCGGCUAAGCAUAAAGUUAAGGCUGAUAGGAAAAUCCGUCAGUUGAUGAUGAAAUGCGAUGGGGACUGAAUAAAAGUAAGGAAGUUUCCGAAUCCACACUGUCAAGAAAAGCCACUAUUGCGUUAUUCGUACCCGUACCGUAAACCGACACAGGUAGAUGAGGAGAAAAUCCACAGGCCGACGGGAGAAGUGUUGUUAAGGAACUCGGCAAAAUGACCCCGUAACUUAGGGAUAAGGGGAGCCACUGCAAAGUGGCCGCAGAAAAGAGGCUCAAGCGACUGUUUAGCAAAAACACAGGUCUAUGCGAAACCGUAAGGUGAAGUAUAUGGGCUGACACCUGCCCGGUGCUGGAAGGUUAAAAGGAGAGGUUAGGCGUAAGCCGAAGCUUUGAAUUCAAGCCCCAGUAAACGGCGGCCGUAACUAUAACGGUCCUAAGGUAGCGAAAUUCCUUGUCAGGUAAGUUCUGACCCGCACGAAAGGUGUAACGAUUUGAGCACUGUCUCGACAACACGCCCGGUGAAAUUGAAGAACCAGUGAAGAUACUGGUUACCCGCAACAGGACGGAAAGACCCCAUGGAGCUUUACUGCAGCCUGAUACUGGGAUUCGAUGAUAUAUGUACAGGAUAGGAGGGAGACUAUGAAGCCAGAACGCUAGUUUUGGUGGAGUCGCCGGUGGGAUACCUCUCUUAUAUUAUUGAAUUCCUAACUAAUGCCCAUCAACUGGGCAUAGGACAAUGUCAGGCGGGCAGUUUGACUGGGGCGGUCGCCUCCAAAAGAGUAACGGAGGCGCUCAAAGGUUCCCUCAGAAUGGUUGGAAACCAUUCGAAGAGUGCAAAGGCAGAAGGGAGCUUGACUGCGAGACCGACAGGUCGAGCAGGUACGAAAGUAGGGCUUAGUGAUCCGGCGGUUCCGAGUGGAAGGGCCGUCGCUCAACGGAUAAAAGCUACCC
rnacentral:rRNA from 1 species